CAGGACUCCUCUGGAAGCGUCGACGAUUCCCGGAAUUCCCGGAAUUCCCCGGCCCCAGCACAGGACUCGGGCUCUCGGUGCCCGGCCGGGCUCUUCCCGAUUUUCCUGCCCAGCAAGAGGAGGCCCCUGGAGCCGCUGGCGCCGCCCUCGGGCCCCUCUGGAAAAGGCUCC